rnacentral:rRNA from 1 species
AGAGUUUGAUCCUGGCUCAGAUUGAACGCUGGCGGCAUGCCUUACACAUGCAAGUCGAGCGGCAGCGCGGGGGCAACCCUGGCGGCGAGCGGCGAACGGGUGAGUAAUGCAUCGGAACGUGUCCUCUUGUGGGGGAUAACCAGUCGAAAGACUGGCUAAUACCGCAUGAGCUCGCAAGAGGAAAGCAGGGGACCCGCAAGGGCCUUGCGCGAGAGGAGCGGCCGAUGCCGGAUUAGCUAGUUGGUGGGGUAAAAGCCCACCAAGGCGACGAUCCGUAGCUGGUAUGAGAGUACGACCAGCCACACUGGGACUGAGACACGGCCCAGACUCCUACGGGAGGCAGCAGUAGGGAAUUUUGGACAAUGGGCGCAAGCCUGAUCCAGCCAUGCCGCGUGUGUGGAGAAGGCCUUCGGGUUUGUAAGCACUUUCGGACGGAACGAAAUCGCGCGGGCGAAUAUCCCGCGUGGAUGACGGUACCGUAAGAAGAAGCACCGGCUAACUACGUGCCAGCAGCCGCGGUAAUACGUAGGGUGGCGAGGGGUUAAUUCGGAAAUUAAUGGG